GCUUUCGAUCCGUAAGCCCGGAUCUUCAUCAGUGCUAAUAAUAUUAGCACUGAUGAAGAUCCGGGCUUACGGAUCGAAAGCUUUGCAGU